rnacentral:rRNA from 1 species
CAGUCGCCGCGGUAAUACGGAGGGGGCUAGCGUUGUUCGGAUUAACUGGGCGUAAAGGGUGCGUAGGCGGGGACUUAAGUCAGGGGUGAAAUCCCAAGGCUCAACCUUGGAACUGCCUUUGAUACUGGGUUUCUUGAGUCCUGGAGAGGUGAGUGGAACUGCGAGUGUAGAGGUGAAAUUCGUAGAUAUUCGCAAGAACACCAGUGGCGAAGGCGGCUCACUGGCCCGGUACUGACGCUGAGGCACGAAAGCGUGGGGAGCAACCAGGAUUAGAUACCCCCGUAGUCCCUGUCUCUUAUAC